AACGAACGCUGGCGGCAGGCUUAACACAUGCAAGUCGAGCGCCCCGCAAGGGGAGCGGCAGACGGGUGAGUAACGCGUGGGAAUCUACCCAGCUCUACGGAAUAACUCAGGGAAACUUGUGCUAAUACCGUAUACGUCCGAUAGGAGAAAGAUUUAUCGGAGUUGGAUGAGCCCGCGUUGGAUUAGCUAGUUGGUGGGGUAAUGGCCUACCAAGGCGACGAUCCAUAGCUGGUCUGAGAGGAUGAUCAGCCACACUGGGACUGAGACACGGCCCAGACUCCUACGGGAGGCAGCAGUGGGGAAUAUUGGACAAUGGGCGCAAGCCUGAUCCAGCCAUGCCGCGUGAGUGAUGAAGGCCCUAGGGUUGUAAAGCUCUUUCACCGGUGAAGAUAAUGACGGUAACCGGAGAAGAAGCCCCGGCUAACUUCGUGCCAGCCGCCGCGGUAACAC
rnacentral:rRNA from 1 species